UACGUAGGGGGCAAGCGUUGUCCGGAAUCAUUGGGCGUAAAGCGCGUGUAGGCGGCCCGAUAAGUCCGCUGUGAAAGUCCAGGGCUCAACCCUGGAAUGCCGGUGGAUACUGUCGGGCUCGAGUCCGGAAGAGGCGAGUGGAAUUCCUGGUGUAGCGGUGAAAUGCGUAGAUAUCGUUUGGAACGCCAACGGUGAAAACAGCUCGCUGGGGGUGUGCUGACGCUGAGACACGAAAGCCAGGGGAGCGAACGGG
rnacentral:rRNA from 1 species